CCAUCCUCAAGGACUCGCCCAUCAUAGUGUUCGACGAGGCCACCUCCAGCCUGGACUCGCUCACCGAACACGCAAUCCUUCAAGCUUUGAAAGCUGCUACCGUAGGUCGUACAUCUAUUUGCAUAGCGCAUCGACUGUCGACCGUCGCGGAUGCGGACGAGAUUUUAGUCCUUGAAAACGGUUCGAUAUCGGAGAAAGGCACCCAUAAAGACCUCAUCAGUAAUCCAGCAUCACUCUACUAUAGACUAUGGGAGAAGCAAAACAAAAGUGCUAUACCAAAAUGAAACGUACCAGUAUAAUAACAGGGAUCAUGUUUCGCCAGCGAGAUGCGGCAAACGCUGAAUGAAAUAGUUUUGUAUCGAUUCUUUUAUUCGCAUCGAAACUCGAAAGUGUUAAUCGAAUAGAACCGUUGUUUUGUAUGGUAUAAAAACUAGUGUGAAUAUUUAAACAUAAGUGUACCAUGUAAAAAGUAUGCAAAAUCGAGGAAAACUUGAAGUAUCAAUGCGUUAGGUGGUUUAAUUUGUAUGAUUUUUUGUUUUUUUUUUUUUUUUUUUUUUUUUUUUUUUUUUGUAGCAUUUAUCGCAGUUUUUUUUUUCUUUUUAAAUUAUUCCAAAUUUGAAUUUCAAAUAUUCAUUCUAUGCAUACAGUAUAUUUAUACUAGUCGCAUUGUACUCAAAGAAUUGCAGAUUCUUUUAUAUUUAUUUUAAUUUUUAAUAUCGCCCCGUACUUAAAAAAAGUCGUAGUACUGGCUAAUGACCUAUUUAACAUUUGAUGUCCAUUCCAUAAAGGUUUAUCGCAUUUAGAGUAUUAGAAAAAAGGGCAGUGGGUAAAUUUUGUAAAUACAUUUUUUCCUUUAUAGUAUACAAUCUGGUAUCCCGAUUUGAUAACAAAUUAUUUGUCUCGUUGUCAUCUCAUUGGCUUGUUAUUUUAAAUUUUUUUUUUGG
rnacentral:lncRNA from 1 species